UACGGGGGGGGCAAGCGUUGUUCGGAUUUAUUGGGUUUAAAGGGUGCGUAGGCGGCUUUGUAAGUCAGUGGUGAAAUAUGGCAGCUCAACUGUCAGGGUGCCAUUGAUACUGCGGAGCUUGAGUACAGAUGAGGUAGGCGGAAUUGACGGUGUAGCGGUGAAAUGCUUAGAUAUCGUCAAGAACACCGAUAGCGAAGGCAGCUUACUAGGCUGUAACUGACGCUGAGGCACGAAAGUGUGGGGAUCAAACAGG
rnacentral:rRNA from 1 species